GGAGCAAAAGGGUUUGGAGGUCUGUCGUUAUGGGUCAUAGUGGGAUAGGAUGGCUGAUGGCUUUGGUGGAAGCAGUAUUACAAGCAGGGAGAAAUUCAGAAUUCACAAAACAUUUACGCGAAGAAAACAGAGCAUUUGUGGUUCAACGAUGCUCCAAUGUGCAUGGUAGGUAUCUAACUGUCACCGAAUAUGCUGGAGGAGGCCGACGGAGGAUGAAGGUUUUGAUUGGA